AAGUUUUGUAGUUUAAUAUAAAACAUUAAAUUGCAAGUUUAAAAAUGAUUUUUCUAAAACUUA
rnacentral:tRNA from 1 species